rfam:Bombyx mori DNA, contig: Bm_scaf2_contig1824, strain: p50T/Dazao, build 2, whole genome shotgun sequence.
GGCCUUAUGCAAGCUUUGUAAAGUGUCACCUUGUUCCGAAGGGACAUUUUACUCCGCUUACAGAUCA